rnacentral:rRNA from 1 species
AUUGAACGCUGGCGGCAGGCCUAACACAUGCAAGUCGAACGAGUGGCGGACGGGUGAGUAAUGUCUGGGAAACUGCCCGAUGGAGGGGGAUAACUACUGGAAACGGUAGCUAAUACCGCAUACCAUCGGAUGUGCCCAGAUGGGAUUAGCUAGUAGGUGGGGUAACGGCUCACCUAGGCGACGAUCCCUAGCUGGUCUGAGAGGAUGACCAGGAAAACUGGAAUGGAGAGACGGGCCAGAAUCCUACGGGAGGAAGCAGGGGGGGAUAUGGCACAAGGGGCGCAAGCAUGAUGGAGCCAUGCGGCGGGUAGGAAGAAGGCCUUCGGGUUGUAAAGUACUUUGAGCGAGAAGGAGUUACUCGCAGAAGAAGCACCGGCGAACUCCGUGCCAGCAGCCGCGGUAAUUC